GCUUGGGUGGUUCAGUCGGUUGAACGUCUGACUUCAGCUCAGAUCAUGAUCUAACAGUUAGUGAGUUCGAGUCCCACAUCGGGCU
rnacentral:tRNA from 1 species